rnacentral:rRNA from 1 species
AUGAGGUACUAUUUUGCGGAGAAUCCCAUAUACCCCGAGUACUACUUUCGGCGCCAUUUUAGAAUGAGCAUCAUGUUGUUCAAACGCAUUACAGAGAAACUAGCGAGCCAUGAUUGGUUUUUCCAGCAACGGAGGAAUGCUGCCGGAGAACUCAGGCAUAGCACCUUUCAAAAGGUGACCGCCGCUUUGUGUAUGUUGGCAUAUGGUAUUACGGCGGAUCUCGUUGAUGACCACUUGGCCGUGGGUGAGAGUCAAGUCAUCAUGUGUGUCAAGCACUUCGCAGUCGGAAUUAUGCAAGUGUUUGGCCCGGAAUAUUUGAGAGCUCCCAAUGUUGAAGACACCACAAGGCUUCUGAAGAUGAACAAGCUCGCGGGUUCCCCUAGCCGCUCGAAUCGAGAUUGA